CUCUCACAGUUCUGGGCCCACCAGUCACUGGCUAUGGGGCCACCUGGGAGGGGUGUGUGAAUUCCCAGGCACUUGCAUCUCUGCAGGAGUGCAAGGGCGGGCCCCUGAAGUAGGUUUAAGUGAUCGCUCUUGGAGGUGAAGCAUAACGAAGCUGGGGGAGCAACAAGAAAUACCUUCAUCUUUUUAGAGAAGAGUGAAAUUGAAGCCAGAGAGGUUGGUUAACUUGCCCAAGAUCACAAAGCUUCCAAGAUGAAGAGCUGGGAUUUCAUUUCAGGUUUCCCAUCUGGCAACAUCCAAGCCCUUUCCAUAAUUCCACACUGUGAAUUUGCUUCCCAAACCAAGGGUUCUGAGAGGCCUGGCCUCUGCUUCCUCCGCCCAUCCAAUAAGUACCACCUGUCUGUUGAGGGGCUCAGUGGCUUCAAGGUUUCAACCCUGGCUACAUCAUGGAACCAUCUGGGGAGCUUUCCAAGUACUGAUGCCUGAACCUUAGUCACAGAUUAAUGGAAACCUGAGGAAUGGGGACCCAUGACCUGGAGUCUGUAAGGCUUCCCCAUUGAUGUGAUGCUUGGUGAAAUCUGUUUGGGACGUCACAGAAUUAUCAUCUAGAACACAGGUAAUCACUUUCCAAUAUUCUUUGAGACGGAGUCUCACUCUGUCGCCAGGCUGGAGUAGAGUGCGUGAUCUCGGCUCACUGCAACCUCCGUCUCCCAGGUUCAAGCGAUUCUCCUGCCUCAGUCUCCCAAGUAGCUGGAAUUACAGGCACCCACCACCAUGCUUGGGUAAUUUUUAUAUUUUUAGUACAGAAAGGAUUCCACCAUGUUAGCCAGGCUGGUCUCAUACUACUGACCUCAGGUGAUCUGCCUGCCUUGGCCUCCCAAA
rnacentral:lncRNA from 1 species